rnacentral:rRNA from 1 species
CCUACGGGGGGCAGCAGUCGGGAAUAUUGCGCAAUGGAGGAAACUCUGACGCAGUGACGCCGCGUGCAGGAGGAAGGUUUUCGGAUUGUCAACUGCUUUAGACAGGGGAGAAAAAAGACAGUACCUGUAGAAUAAGCUCCGGCUAACUACGUGCCAGCAGCCGCGGUACUACGUAGGGAGCAAGCGUUAUCCGGAUUUAGUGGGUGUAAAGGGUGCCUAGACGGGUAAGCAAGUUAGUUGUGAAAUCCCUCGGCUUAAACGAGGAACUGCAACUAAAACUACUUCCCUUGAGUACUGGAGAGGAAAGCGGAAUGCGUAGUGUAGCGGUGAAAUGCGUAGAUAUUAGGAGGAACACCAGUGGCGAAGGCGACUUUCUGGACAGUAACUGACGUUGAGGCACGAAAGUGUGGGGAGCAAACAGGAUUAGAUACCCUAGUAGUC